rnacentral:piRNA from 1 species
UCCGACCACAUGAAGGUGCACAGCCAGGGCC